GGGGAUUUAGCUCAGUGGUAGAGCAUUUGCCUAGCAAGUGCAAGGCCCUGAGUUCGGUCCUCAGCUCCA
rnacentral:tRNA from 1 species